GCUACUUGGAACAUACUUAUUGAAUUGAAUUAAAUCAAGGAUGAUUUUUAUAAUUCUAUUCUUAAUAUAAUCAUAAACUAGAUCAUAAACUACUCUUUUACUGGCAUUAUUUUUAGGCCAUUUUUACUUAAAUUUCUUAUUCUUUUUCUCUGUUUUAGGUAAAGUGAGUAGAACUGAAUGCAAGCUUCAAGGUUAAUUUCAAGCAGUCAGAGUGUGGGGGUCUGAGAGAUGCUAAUAUCCAUGACAUGUUGGAAUUAUUAUGAUCAACUAUCCUCUUUGGAUCUCACCCAGUGGUCGAGAACUUUGUAUGGUAGCUGGCAAAAACUGGACUUUUAAAAACAGGAAAACAGAUGGCUGAGAUUGCCAGAAGUCUGACCUCCAGAUAAAUGAGGUGUUGUCACACAUUGAGUGCAUAAAUAAAGGGAAGAAGCUUGGAGGGAAAAGUCACAGAGCCAUCAAAAGUUUACCCAAUUUAUUCAUCCCUCCACACUCAGAAUAGAAAAGGUAAUGUAAUAAUAAUGUAGCUUUUGCUUUUGUCUGCAAUUCUACAAAUUUAUAUUUUUCAGUUUCAUGUCAUUGAAAAACUGACUCAACUAAUAUUCUGUUAAUGAGUACAUAAUUUGCUACAUUAUUUGCUACAUAUAAAAUGCUACAUUUUAGCAAUUCAACUUAUGUGUUUCUUACAAAUAUCUUUCCAAAUGUAUUCUUGUGAAGCAAAAAUGAAGAGAUUUCUUAAAUUAGCAAAUUAAAUUAGAACUUUAGUUAUAGAAUGUCAUUCAUUUCCCUCUAAAUGCACAGAUUAUUAUAAUUAUUGAACUGUUAAAAGUUCUUAUGAAAUUCAUUAUUAUGCCUUCCCUCCAGAUUUUAAGAAUCACAAACUAACAAUUCCCAGACAUACAUGUUCUUUUUUUCUUAUUCAAUG